GCGAAGCAAAAGAGGAGGUCAGAGAAUAGAAGGAAAACAGCAAGCAGUGGCGUGGAAGCAAAACGAAGGGAGGAGUUUGGCCACGAGAAUCUAGUAUUAGAGAGAGCAUGGAUACAGCUGGGCAGGAAUGGUCAAUUAGCUAAAGAAAGCUCCACUGCAGGAGAGGCAACGGCUCAACCAUUCUCUCACUUGGGUCUCUGGACAGUGCAUGACUCUAGAUGGGCUCCCAGUUGCUGUGAUUAGAGGCAUGCAUGAACAUUCUCUUGGCUCUGAACUGACCUCAGGGACUUACUUGCAAUCAAGAGACCAUAACAAAGAAUAUACUGGAGACUGGGAAGAUAAAGUGGCAAUCUCUGUAACUGAUGAUUACACAUUAUGCUGCUCACUCUCAUUGUGGCUGUAUUGAAAAUUGAA